CCUAGCAGACUUGUUGGACUAUUUCAGCAUCGAUAGUUCAACAGGAGAGCUGUCUUUGGUUAGAGGACUGGACAGGGAGGCAGUACAUGAUGUCACACUCACCAUCAAGGCAGAACAGUCGGACAGCAAUGUCAGAUCAGCAGAGGCUCGUGUGUACAUCGUUGUUCAAGACGCCAAUGACAACCGACCACAGAUGUCUGCCAGCCAGUACCAGGCAACAGCGAUGGAGAAUACCCCCAUUGGUUCUCCUGUACUCACUGUCACAGCGUCAGACAAGGAUGAGGGAGGCAAUGCAGUAUUCAUGUAUGUGCUGGUUCCUUCCGAUGCCUUUACCAUUGAUGGCACGACCGGUCAAGUCACUGUCAGCAACAACAGUAUCCUGGACAGGGAGAUAAACAGCAAUUUCA